CUCAAAGAACGUUUGAUGAAAUACUUGUAUUUUAUGCGUAUUAGACAAAUUUGAAAUCGUUGCUACCCAGUCGACAAUAUUAGAAAACUCACAUGCCCUGGUCAACUAUAGCAGAAUCGUAUGUACUUGUUGAUUAAUAUGAUUGAGCCUAGGUGUGCUGAAGCAGAACAAAAAACGAUCGAGCGGACGAGUGCAUGCGUUUAUAUUUUCAAAACAAUAUUAUAUUGCUCGAGAGUAAUUGCUUCGAAUCAGUUCUUGAGCCGUAAAACAAAAGAUUGUCUACUUAUGGGAAAUGUCCGAAGAACUUAAAGAAAUAUGUUGAAGUUUAUUCUACAAACUGUAUAGAAGACAGAUAAAAUGUUCAGUUGACGACGGAGCAAAGAACAUGUAUUGUUUUGCGUUACAACAGCACCCGGCCGAGAAGUUUAGCUGCCGUGCAGAACGCAUUUAGAGAACGC